UUAUAUACUGCAUUAGGUUCCAGUUCAUUAGUAGGGACUCAAACUACAGAGAUAACCUCAGGCCAAAGUUAAUUUAACUAUUCCAUUAUCCAGCUGCUAUAACCAGCACGAGAGAGUAUGGGCAGCUGCCCAACACAUUAACCUUGGCCUUGCAUGGAGCCUGAGAGCGCAUUAAAGGUCUGUGUCUUGGGCUCUAAGCUUUGAACUCUAUGGAGCUUGCUGUGACGAUAUUACUUCACCAGCUGGAGCCAGUACUGCCCUGAGAUUGUCCGCUACAUGCCCCAGAAUGUGGACCCUUGCCUGUGCAUACACAUCUUCUACGCCUUCACUGGUAUGGCCAACAACCAGAUCAAAACCAUCGAGUGGGAUGAUGAGGACCUCUAUGCCAGCAUCAACGGCCUUAAGAACUAGUGAGCUCUGAACUUGGGCUUUGUGCUGGGUUGAAGGCUUUUACAUGAGGCUUUCACGAGUUCCCCAAGAGAUACCUACAGCAGAAUGUUUAGCCUUUGAGUGCUGUCCACAGUCAUUCUCAUGCCAUGCCUCAUUAGUAGAGCUUUCAGCAUCCUUCUCCCCAGGAGAGGCAGGUUGCUGUCAUUUUUCUGGAUUAUUUUCUCCAGGAAAUUCAGAUACCCAGCAUUCUAUUCUGUGUGUCACAGGAGGUGCCAUUCACAAAGGAUUCUUAGUGAAUAGUGCCCCCUGAAGUUUGUCAUGUUGCUGUACAGCCCCACAACAACCUAUCAACUAGCUACCAAUUUAACCCAAAAUUUAACCUAAAAUUGCACCGGCUAAAUGCUUAGCGUAUUUAUUGGUUAACUACUAUGUGCGAGGUGCUUUUCAUUUAUUAUUUUAUAUACCGGCACAAUAAGCGUGAUGAAGUGGGCAUAUUAAAACCAUGUUAAGGUUGAGGAAACUGAGUCAUAGGGAGAUUAAAAGCUUUCCCUAGCCCACAGAACCCAGGAAGGCCAGAUCGCCUUAUUAGCUAGGUUGAUGCUUUUGUCUCAUCAGGAAUCCAAUGGGUAGGUUUUACGGUCAAGCUCACAGGACCAUGGUAUAAAGGACUUAGGUGUGAAUCCUGGCUCUGCCACCUUAUGCGUUGGAUGAUCUUGGUCAAGUUGCUUAAUCUCUCUGAAUACCACUUAAAGGUCAAAUGAUAUUAACAGUUUCUGCUUUGUGGGAUUAUAAGGGUUAAAGAAGCAAUGCAUGUAAAGUGCCUGGCAUUUAGCAGGCACUCAGUAACUGGUAGACACUUCCACUGCCUGUGUUCCUCACUCUCUCCUAGAAUUAGACUUCCAGAUUUCUGGCCUUGUGUAUCCCAGAAGCUCCAGCCAGUCUACUUUCUGUGCUAAGGGGUUGAUUUCUGGCUCCCUCAUCCUGACCAGGAUGCCCUGUCUUUUCUUCCCAGAAACUCCCUUCUGCACCAGGGUCCAUCAGCCCACUGGCAGAGAUGGGAGCAAGAACCUACUCAAUGAGUUAUUUAUAGCGUGCCCUGGAGGACUCAUGGCACAAGGGCCCCUUGAUCCUACAGACAGCUCUGUUCCCAACACAAGGCCUUGUGUGGGAUGUGAGGGUAGAGGGACCGACUGGCAAAUGACAGCUCCUUGCAAGUGGAAUUUCUUUACACUAGUAUCUUUUUAUCUCCAGCAACACAGAACUGAAAACCUUGCUCUCUGUUGGUGGUUAGAACUUUGGAUCCCAGGGGUAAGACCUUGUAUUCAGGACUGAAUCAUUUCCAGAUUAAUCAGUCUCUUCCAAACUCCAAGGACUGUAAGUUUCUGUAACGUGAGUGUACCCAGGGCCUCAGACCCCACUGUAGACUUCUCAGAACUCUUCUCUGACCAGGUCUCCCUGAAGUCUGCUCUUCCUUCAUCACAGCUCUUAACAUACUAUUUUUUUAAUUGGACAUUUCAUGAUUUUUUUGUUAUAUUUUUUUAACUUUGUUUUUUAUUUGACAUAUAAUAACUGUACAUAUUUAUGGGAUACAUAGUGAUGUUUCAACACAUAUAAUGUAGAGUGAUCAGAUAAGGGUAAUUAGCAUAUCCAUCAUCUCAAACAUCUGCCAUUUUUUGUGUUGACAACAUUUAAUAUCCUCUUUUUAGCCAUUUGAAACUAUAAUUAUUGUUAACUAUAGUCAUCCUAUACCACACUGUAUUUUAAGUUCCAUUUACUUAUCUAUCUAUACCUUCCUCUAUAUGAGCUCCUCCAGGGCAGAAACUAUUUUAUUCACUACUCUAUCCCAGCAAUGCUAAUAAAUGACAGAAUAACUGAAUGACAGUAAAUGACAAUAGAUGACAGAAUAACUGAAUGUAUGUCCAGGUAAAUAGUAAGGAGGAUAGGUGGCAAGACAGAGUAUCCAGAGGCUACUGUGAUUCAUGCUGCAAUGACUUAUUGACUCCAGAUUCUCUGACAUGGUGGCCACUGCUGAGAACCGCCAGACCUUCAUCCAGUCAGCCAUACAGUUUCUGAGGAAGUACAACUUCGAUGGGCUGGACAUUCAUUGGGAAUAUCCAGGCAAUCGUGGCAGCCCAGCUGACACCCAGCAGCUCUUCACCAUCCUGUUGAAGGUGUCUCACCCUCACUGUGUCCAAAGAACACACAAUCUGGCCCACAGCAGGCUGGGACAAGGCCUCUCUCUGGAGAGGGGUUCUGAGAGAGGCUGCAUAUAUCCUGGCCAGAGGUGUGGAUCUCACCCUUUCUGGCUCACAGCCUCAUCUCUUUAGUGUAAGAGCAGAUCUCUCUUGUGAGGAAAACUGCCACUGGCAGUGAGAAGUAUAUCUUUGAGCACCAGUGUUGGCUUUAAUGCUCUUAUUUCCCCUUCCUUUCCUUCGUUUUUCUGAUAAUUAGAUGCAAUCACAUACAGCUUGCAGGGCUGAAGGCCAUUUUUGUCUCUUUAAUACAAUCUCCCUCCUUUUCUUUUUAAAUUGUACUCUGGACAUUAUUUGUUUAUUUUAAUUUAACUGUCAGAGGAUGACCGAAUUUCCCUCAUUUCCAAGUUUUCGGAAGACAGCUUACUGUUGUCCCCAGAGACCAAUGACAGCUUUUGGAUCAAAGGACUCUAAAUCAAGCACUUUGCAGCUUUCUUCAUAAGAGCUGUGACCUCGUCACAUGCCCACUGGUCCCUCCAGCCUGUGUUCGGUGUCUUCUGUUUCACAGGAAGUGCAUGAGGCUUUUGAGCAAGAGUCUACCCGCAGCAAAAAGCCCAGAUGGCUGAUUUCUGCUGCUGUGUCAGCUGGCAAAGGUACCAUUGGGACUGCCUACCAGAUGUCCAAGAUGUCAAGGUACAUGGACCUCAUCAGUGUGAUGAACUGUGACCUAAGGGGCUCCUGGGAGGGCUUCAUAGGAGAGGACACCCCCGUUUGCAGGACCUAAUCACCAGGGAGACUACAAAAACUUUAAUAUGGAUUAUGCAGUGAACUCCUGGAAGAGCCAAGGUGCCCCUGCUGAGAAGCUGAUGGUGGGCUUUGGGGCUUAUGCUUACAUCUUCACUCUCACUAAUCCUGCCAAUCAUGGCCUGGAUGCUCCCACUUCUGGCCCUGGAACUGAUGGGCCCUAUACACAGGAGGCUGGGAUCCUUGCCUACUUGGAGGUUGCAGAGUACCCACCUCUACCCUGGGAACCAGCUUGACUUCCAUCGUCACUGUAGCACCUGGAGGUGGCAGUGGAUUCUGUACUGGGAAGUCCAGUGGUCUGUAUCCUAGCCCCACCAGCAAGCGUGCCUUCUACAACUGUGUGGAUGAGCACACCUAUGAGGUAGCUUGUCAGGAAGGCCUGGUCUUUGAUACCAGCUGCUCUUGCUGUAACUGGGCAUAAGCUAUUCAACUGUUGGGUCUCUUGGAGAUUAUAAGACAAAAGGAUGAUUAAAGGGAAGUUUUGCA